GAUACUGAUACAGAUCCUCUACUGAUGUAUAGUGGAACAGAUACAUUGUCAUCCAUGAAACGACAUCAGUGUACACAGGCUGAGGAUUUGUACACGGUUAUGCUCUUGUGUGAACUGUCCCCCUAAACCAGGGGUGGGCAAACUAGGGUCUGGGGACCACAUCUGGCCCUUCAGACAUUUUGAACCGGCCCUUGAGCUCCCACUGGGGAGUAGAGUCCAGCGCUCGCCCCGCUCCGGCGUUCCAGCCAGGGAGCGGGGUCAAGGGUUGGUCCCACUCCAUGUGUGCUGUGGCUCUGCAUGUCUCCCAUGUGUAGGGGCAUCCAGGAGACUCCGCAUGCUGCUCCCGCCCCAAGUGUGGCCCCCACAGUGUAGGAGCUGGAGAGGGGACAUGCCGCUGUUUCCAGGAGCUGCUUGAGCUAUGUUUGGUGGCCGAUCUGAAAGGAGGAAGAGGGCUGAAUGAACAGCACUGACUGUAUGAUCUUUCCAGACCUGGGCCUGUGUGUUUACCAAUCAACUGACAGAUACUGACACACUGAAGAAGGGAAACUGAGGCACAGCUCCAUCUAGAUGCCAGGAUGAGAAUGGUGUUGCGGAGCAAGGAGAUCUUGGAGUCAUCGUGGAUAGUUCUCUGAAGACAUCCACGCAGUGUGAAGCGGCAGUCAAAAAAGCAAACAGGAUGUUAGGAAUCAUUAAAAAAGGGAUAGAGAAUAAGACAGAGA